CUGGAUGAAAAUUCAAUCGGUGACUUACGGUUUGAGUUUUCUUCUCUAUAUACCUGAGUUUUUCUUAAGAUGAUUUGCUUUAAAGACUAAUAUUUGUUUUAGGAUAGUUUAAAUUUGCGCAUUUACUUUCGUUUCUCUCCUAUGCACAAAUUUAGGGGGAGAAAUAGAAACAAAACAAAAAUUAGAAAAUUUUAAUUUAAAAAAAAUCCAAAAACAUUAGAAAAUCAGAAAAUCAAAAAUAUGGUGUUAAUGGAAUGUGCUUGCAGGAGAUGUUUUGGGAAGUGAUAUAAUCAUGUGAGAACAGGCAAUCUGAAUCUGUGUAAGGGACUGAAUCUGAAUUGUCUAGGCUCUUUGUUCGAUGCGCUGGUAGGCACGAAAGAUUUAAAAUGGACUUGACUAAGCAUAGAUGAAUUUAAGGAAUCUAGAAACUUGAAAAAUCUUGACCUAGAUAGAUCCAUUUUGCCUGACAAUACGACGCUCAGAUAGGUUGAGCAGGGAGAUAUACAUGAAAAUCUACCGGUCACAUUAAAAGAACCCGUGUCUAGAACUGUGGAUUAACCUUUCCUUGAUGUGUGGAUUCUGUCCUCAAUUCCGGUUUUGAUGGGGUGACUGGGGAAUUCCGAUAAACUAGGUCUGUAGAAAGUUAUUUUCUUGCUUUCUGUCAGUUAGUCAUAUGUUGCCUCCUUUGCGUGAUCGAGAGAUCCGACAUGGACUGUAACAUAUGCAAUUCUAUCUCUCUGCAUCUUCUAUAUAUGCAAUUCUUUCUAUCUGUUAUCCAUAUACUGUCUCCUCUGCGUGACUCAUAUUCCGACCUGGUACACAGUAUAUGCAACAUUCUCUUCUCAAUCCCUCUAAAAAUUCAGUUAGUCAUAUAUUUCAUCCUCUGCGUGAUUGGAAGAGAUCCGACCUGGAUGUAUGGCAUAUGCAUUCUAAAUCAACCUUAUCUCUUAAUAAUUGUCUGCUCACCCGGUGUAAGGAGUAUUCGGGAAGUCCUUGAUGGCUGGAGCAUAUCAGGAAGUGGGAAACACGUUCUAGUGUAAUUAAAAUUUGAACACAUACAGAUUGUCUAUAGAUCUCGCUGCUCAAUUUAGGUGGACAACAAUAUCUUUGGUUGUCGUCAGCUGAAUGGUCCUUAAGGAAUAUUAUCUAGGAACUUAGGAUCAUAUUGUCUUGUCACUUAUAGUAUGUCCUAAUUUUGUCACAAUCUCUCGUGUUUAAGUGAACCACAAUACCAGUGAUUGACCAGAUCUAUUCAUGAGGGAGAGGUACUGAUAAACGGAUAAAGGCUGUCUAAAAACUUUGAUCCCAAAUCACUCUUAAAGUUAGCUAUUAUUUUUGUUUUUGUUAAGUUUGUUCAUAGUGUUCUUCUAAUUUAAAUAUAAAGGGGAGAAUUAAAAAUAAAAAUAAAAACAAACAAACAAAAAUCAGAAAAUUCAAAAUAAAAAAUAAAAAAUAGUGUUAUUUCUGUUUUAUUUCUUGUUCAGAAAAACCAAAAAUCCAAAAUAUUUUUGUUUCUGUUUUAUUUUUGUUCAGAAAAUAUGAAAAACCCAAAAAUAUUGUGUGCUAAAUUUUCUUUUAGUUUUGUUUUGUCUUGAAAAGUGAAUUCAGGUGAAGAUGAAACUCAUGGAGUUUGUGUCGAAGAUUUCUGAGCCAAGGCUUCGUCCGUGAGCAUCGAAGAAUUCUCAUUCGAAGGAGCAAGAAAUGAAGAUUAUUCUUUCAACAUUCAAUCCUUCAACCUUAGAAGCAAGGUGAAGCAGAAAUUGAAGAUUAUAUGACGGAUUGCAUUGAAGCCUCCUCAAUCAAUCUGCUACUAUCGUUGUACCUGCUGAAGUGAUCUAGAAGAUUUGUUCUCUCUGAAGAUUCUCAAGCUGAAAGCGCCAUCUUUCAAGAAUCAGUACAAGAAGCUUCCUCACCCAAUGUGCAUUUAGAGUCAAAUCUUGAAGAAAAGCUCAAGUGCUCAAGAUGAAGUCAUUCAUUGAAGAUUCAUCAAGUACAUCUUGAAGUUGUGAAGAAUUUGAAGAUAAAUGUUGAAGCCAAUCUCCCAAUGAAGAUUAACAAGAAAAGCCAGCUACUUUUUAGGGGAGCUUGUUGGGUCAAUUAAGAAAAGAAAGUUAUAAACCAAGGGGGAGAUUGUUGGGUCAAAAAUAUGGUUUAUACUUUACUUUUCAAGGAAAAUGUAUUUUUCUGGAAUAUUUUAUGAGUUUACGAUCAGGUUUACGGUCAGUGGGUGUUUACGACCGUAAACAGGUUUACGGCUGUAAACCCAUUUACGGCCCAUGUUCACCUGGACCAUGUUCCCCUUGUAUAUAUAUAGGUGUUAGGGGUGAGGAGUAGAGAUUGAUGAACGUGAGAUGAGAGAAACCAGAGAGAUGAAGAGAGCAUUUUGUGUGUGUGAAUCUAUUGAAGGAACUUAAUUCUAAUCAUAUCAUUCAAUAUUCAUAUUAUUUUUCUUCUCCUCUCUUCUAUUUGAUCUGACAUCAUCCAAUUGAUUGAGAUUUCGCACCAUCAACUGGAUAUGAUUGAUACACAAGCAGAUUAGGGACUUACAAUUGGUAUUAGAGUUUGGAUUGUAUCAGUCAAUUUUGUCAGAUCUGGAACAUAUUUAAUAUUAUUUUUGAAAGAUUUUUACGUUUUUGGAUAGAUCUCUGAAAAUUAAAGGGGGUUUCUUCUUUUCAUUUUUCAUAUAAAUGGGCUUUUGAUGAAGUUUUGGAGCAAAAAAGGGCAAAAAUCACUAUUUUUGGUCGAAACCUACGAGGGGGUGGCGGAGUUUGCGGCCGGCGGCUAGGGUUUCGGAGUUUACGGUCCGGAGUUUCAUGUCUGAGAUUACAGCCUCGGUUUGCGGUCCUAGGUGGUUUACGACUCGCACGUGUUCGGUCUCGUGGUUAGCAGCAUCCUCGCACCUCGCAUCGCAUCGCAGCUACUUCCUCGCCUNAUAAUAAUAAUAAUAAUAAUAAUAAUAAUAAUAAUUAUAAUAAUAAAAAAAUUAAUAAAUCAAAUUAUAUUUUGAUUUUUGACUUUUAUUGUUUUAACUUUUGACCUUAAAUUUUAACUUUGAUUAUCAAGUUUGACCUUUGACUUUUUCGUUUAACUUUUAAAUUUUCGAAUUUAGCUUUUCGGUUUGACUUUUAAGUUAGACUUUUGAGUUUAACAUUUUAAAUUUGACUUUUAAGGUUGACGUUUGAGGUUUAUAAUCAAAGGGUUUGACUUUUAAGUUUGAUUUUGGCUUCUAGUUGUGCUUUUUAAUGGCUUUUAAGGUCUACGAGGGAGUUGAAAACAUGAAAGAGAGUCGUCAGGAUAUGUUAAGACAAAAUUUCAACAUUUUCGAUUAUAUCCCUGGAGAAACCCUCGAAACUCAGUUGUAGCAAUUUACCAAUCUUACUACUGAAAUGAAUAUAGCUGGGAUCUUCUUGACCAAAUCUGAGAUAAACAAAAAAGCUACUGAAUUCACUUCCGAAAUCGUGGGAUAUGAACGUAGCUGUCAUCAAGAUGACAAAAGAUCUCAAUCGUCUUAGUAUUGCUGAUGUAAUUGAAGAGCUUGAUGCUUUGAAGUGUGGAAAAACAAUGAGUUCCGUAAAUGAAGUUUCGUGUUCUCAAUCAUGUGAAGUUUCAUGUACACUAUCUAGUGAAGAUACGAUUAAAUUUCUUCGGGAACAAAUUGAUUUAUUAAAAAGAGAAGUUGAGGACCUGAGAUAUGAAGGAUAUCAACUCAGGAAAGGACAGAAACCCCUGAGGGCUGAAUUAGAAACAAAAAUAAAGGACUUUAAGAGAAUUCAGCAAGACUACAGUGAAAAAUGUGAAGAUUAUGAUUAUAUCAAGAGACAAAAUGCUGAGUUAAUUACAGAGCUUGAUACAUUAAAAGGGCAAUUUGAAACUGCAAAUUUUGAUUUUAAAAAGUUUGAUGUAUCAAGCGAAGUAGUUGCCAACAUGAUUGACCAUUACAUGCAAUCUAAACAUAAUCGGUCAAAGGGUUUAGGAUACGAUAAUGUACCUCCUCCUUUUAAUCAUACAUAUAAGUAUCAACCUUUGUCUAAAGAGGAGAUUGCCAACGAACCAUUCAUGGUUUAUGGAAAGCCAUCUGGUUUUGUUUCAGGAGGAUUUAUUAAUGUUGAAAAUACUAACGUUUCUACUUCCCCUGCAAAUCAAUCCUUAAAUCAAUCCAAGCAAGCACCUGAAGAGAGUGUGUCAGUUAGUAAAGUAGCAGAAGAUGAGAACAAGGAGAAAACCAUUGAACAAACCAACAUCUCCUUGAGCUCUGAAUAUGUUGCUUUGAACUCAACUUCUUCUGAUCAACCUGCUGUUGAGAAAUAUAGGCCACCAAUUCCAGGGAAACAAAGUGCUUGUUGUAAUUGUGCUUGUGGGAACCAUAAGAGACAAGGCAAAGAUACGCCACCAGGGGCAGGAAGAAACAACUUCACAGUGAAGAAAAAGGCAUGUUUUCACUUUGGAACACCUGGACACAUUGCCCGAAACUGUACAAAUCGCGCAUACGUUCCUNAAACAACUUCACAGUGAAGAAAAAGGCAUGUUUUCACUUUGGAACACUUGGACACAUUGCCCGAAACUGUACAAAUCGCGCAUACAUUCCGUACAACGCACAAGGAUGGAAAAACGCGCCAAGUGGGAGAUACUUCAAAAGAAACCCUUCCAGGUCACGUUUAGACAAUGGUGACUGGAACGUGAAGAAGGCCAAGAAUCAAACCCACAAGGCAAAGAAUCCGAAUCCCAAUGGCAAGAAUGAAAUGCCUGCACAGAAGCCAAAUCCAAUAGAUGCUCCAGUGAAACAAAGACCGGCUAAGUCAAAGUCAUCUCGAAGAUCGGCUUCAAGUUCCAAAUCAAGUGCCGAGGCACCCAUCGGAUCGAAAAAGAAAUGGGUUAUAGUUUGACGAUGUGAAGGGAAGAAAGGAAGGGAUCACUCAUGGGGUUAGUGCUUAACGAUGUGAAGAAUUUUUGGAUCUGUUUUGAGAUUANCUUCUGUUUGUGAUAAGCAGGAUAUGUCAUGGGAGAGAGUAUCGUGCAAGGAUGAAAAAAUUCGACUUAGUUUCAAAAUGGAUUGGGUUCCAAAGACCAACUGAUCCCGCUCUGUGUCGGAGCAGCUAAGGAGGCAUAUCAUCAGACAUCGGUUUGUUGGUAGUGGCUGUUCCUGGCACAUGAUAGGAGGCAUCUCUUAAUUGUACAACACACAAAACAUUAUUUGAGAGUAUGUGUCCGUUGCGGGAAGGGAAGAAAGGGAUCACUCAUGGGGUAAGUGCUUAACGAUAUGAAGAAUUUUUGGAUCUGUUCUGAGAUUACGCGUGCUGUUCUCAGACCUUCUGGAUGAAAAUUCAAUCGGUGACUUACGAUUUAANGCAUUAAUGAACUUAAGGAAUCUAGAGACUUGAAAAAUAUUGACCUAGAUAGAUCCAUUUUGCCUGACAACACGACGCUCAGAUAGGUUAAGCAGGGAGAUAUACAUGAAAAUCUACCGGUCACAUUAAAAGAACCCGUGUCUAGAACUGUGGAUUAACCUUUCCUUG
rnacentral:lncRNA from 1 species